rnacentral:rRNA from 1 species
CCUACGGGUGGCAGCAGUGAGGAAUAUUGGUCAAUGGGCGAGAGCCUGAACCAGCCAAGUCGCGUGAAGGAUGACGGCCCUACGGGUUGUAACCUUCUUUUGUCAGGGAGCAAUUGAGUCCACGUUUGGGCUUGGCGAGAGUACCUGAAGAAAAAGCAUCGGCUAACUCCGUGCCAGCAGCCGCGGUAAUACGGAGGAUGCGAGCGUUAUCCGGAUUUAUUGGGUUUAAAGGGUGCGUAGGCGGAAUAUCAAGUCCGCGGUAAACAUUCGGGGCUCAACCCCGUCGUGCCGUUGAAACUGAUGUUCUUGAGUGGGCGAGAAGUAUGCGGAAUGCGUGGUGUAGCGGUGAAAUGCAUAGAUAUCACGCAGAACUCCGAUUGCGAAGGCAGCAUACCGGCGCCCAACUGACGCUGAAGCACGAAAGCGUGGGUAUCGAACAGGAUUAGAUACCCGGGUAGUC